rnacentral:rRNA from 1 species
GGUCAGGAUGAACGCUAGCGGCAGGCUUAACACAUGCAAGUCGAGGGGCAUCGGGAGUAGCAAUACUGCCGGCGACCGGCGCAAGGGUGCGUAACGCGUGAGCAACAUGCCCGUAUCAGGGGGAUAAUCCAUGGAAACGUGGUCUAAUACCCCAUAGUAAUUAUGUAAGGCAUCUUAUAUAAUUUAAAGCUUUGGUGGAUACGGAUUGGCUCGCGUGACAUUAGCUAGAUGGUAAGGUAACGGCUUACCAUGGCUACGAUGUCUAGGGGUUCUGAGAGGAAGGCCCCCCACACUGGAACUGAGACACGGUCCAGACUCCUACGGGAGGCAGCAGUGAGGAAUAUUGGACAAUGGAUGGAAAUCUGAUCCAGCCAUGCCGCGUGCCAGGAAGACGGCCCUAUGGGUUGUAAACUGCUUUUGUAUGGGAGCAAUAAGGGCUACGCGUAGUCCGAUGAGAGUACCAUACGAAUAAGCACCGGCUAACUCCGUGCCAGCAGCCGC